UUCUUAUCAAGAGUGGUGGAGGAACUGGUCCUACGAAGCCCGGCAACCGGUAUGUAUCGCAUACACGGUGCUAAUUCCAGCAGAGUUUUAGCUCUGGAAGAUAAGGA
rnacentral:ncRNA from 2 species